CCAAUUAAUAAUUGAAUUACUAAUCGAUCCUCCUGCAAUACUUGCACUAGGUUAAAUGUCAAUCGUAUUGAACGUUUAACACUAGAACGAUUCUUAAUCAUUGAUCAACCAUCUGAUCAGAUCAUGAACUCUAAUAUAUAUGACCUCAUAGAUCUGAAUCUAAGUCAGUAGUAUAGGAAUAAAUUUUUAUACCAAUCGAAGUGACCAUCUAGCAAUGGUACCCGAUGGUCGGAU
rnacentral:lncRNA from 1 species